AAAUUCAAGUUUGUUUUGCACAAGGUCAAUUCAAAACCAAGCUUGGAGGAAACUCAUUUACAAAUCAAGUUUCAAAUUCAUUACAAACUCGUCAGAAGUUUACAAAGUCGUUACAAAAAGUAAAAAAUCUAAAACAUACAAAGAAUGCAAUUUUGACCUAUAGUUGACUUUGGUCAACUAGUUGACUAAAGUCAGCUUUCUAAGUCUAACCCUAAGUCCCUCAUUUCUUCCCUCGAAGCCAUCUUAUCUUGGUCUUUAGGUUUCCUCAGUGGUUUAUCCAUGACUUGAUCAAGCCUUGCUUCCUUUCAUCAGGCAUAUUGACCCUACAAGAUUAAAAAGUCCAUAAGCACAUACUCAAAUCAAUAAUCACACCACAUAACAAUGUAGACAAUAACAUAACAUGGCAUCACAUGAUUCCUAGUUCUAACCAACUUUAGAUUCAGCUCUUCCUAAAUUCUAACAGAAUUUUAACUACAACAUUACCAUUUGUAACAAUUCCUACUAAUCUUUCAUAAAGCAUAACAACAUACAAGCAUUGUUUGGAUCACUUUCCUUUUAAUUAUGGACAUCCAUAAUCAAUCAAUCAUAUUGGUUCAUUUCCAUUCUAACAUAACCAUUCAAUGGAUGUAACACAAUAAACAAUCAACCAUUCCUAACACCACUAACAUGUCCUAACAUACAACCAUGUCCAUUUUAAUACAUAACAUGAUAAUUCAACAAUAAGUCCAUCAACCUCAUUUUUAACAGGCAUAUAACAAUUCACCAAGAUUCUAUACUUCAAACAAUUCAAGAUUAAUUCCAAAAUAGUAGCAAUCAAUGUUCAAGCAACUUUGGUAGUUCAAUAAAGAAUAGCCUAUUCACAAUUUUGUUCACUAACCUAAUACACUAGCAAUAGGAUUAAAGUCUUACACAUAAUUCAAUAGCUAGGGGUCCACAUACACAUAGCAGCUAGAAUUAAGGCAAUUCAUUACUAAUGCCCCUACAUUCCUAUUACUAACCUAACUCACAUUUUAACUUCAAACUCAACUUUCAAGUAAACAAAACUAACCAUAAAAACCUGUUGCAGUUUGGACCAAUUGCACCAUUCAUAAUUCAGUUUAGGUUCAUCUUGAUAGCGCUGCUAGAUGGCUUGCAAACCUCACUUCACCACUGCAAAUUGGAUAGCCAGCUGGAUAUUAAUUAGCUCAUCAAAUUCAAAGCAUCAUGCAGUCAUAACAAUCCAAUUAGCAUACCAAUUAACCAUAGGUUCAACACCAAAACCAAUUGACAUCAUACAAAACUUGCAGUUUGAGUCAGCAUACAUUUCAUCAUAGUUAUAGUGAAACAAUUAAAUUCACUAGUCUACAGCUUGCUGACCAUACUAACUGAACCUUAACAGGAUAUCUAACACUUGUAACUGUUUUCAUUCAAAACCAACCUUUGUUAAAUCAAUAGUCCAUUGAAAAGUCAAUUCAUCUGUGAUAAUUAACAUAAAAUAACUUCUCAUAGCACAACAAUCCUUAGAUAACUAGUUAGCACAUUGCAACUAGUAAUAAAUUCAUCCAUACUAAUGAUAAUAAUUUCAAAUUGUGGUUCAUAUCUGCAGCUUAAAGACACCAGCUAGAACUAACUAUUCCAACUAUGAAAAUCCAAUAUAACCAUUUGAACUAACUCAUGUUGAAUUCCAUUUCACACUAACAUAAUUUCAACAUCUUCUAACUAACAGAACUAACAUCUCAAUCCAACCUAAUAUAAUAUUCAAUAAUAUAAUAACUAACUCCAUCCAAUUUUUCAACUGACUGAAUUAACUACGUUAACUGUUUGUUAACUUUGUCAAAUCCAUAACUGAAUCUAACUGACGUAACAGUCCUCCCAAUCAACUAACUUCACUUCAAUCUAAACCAACUAACUUCACUUCAAUCUAAACCAACUAACUUUAACAUAGCCUUAACAAAUUGUUAACUCUAUUAAUCCUUUUAACUAACCUACAACCAGUUACUCAAUUCAUGUCUAUAAGUAAUCAUCAUCCCAAUCAUUGAAGAGGACCCAAUCAUUGACACACGAAUCAGAUAAGUUCUCAAAACUCUCUUUCACUCUCCCUCAAUUGUCUCUCAAUCUCUGAAAUUUUCCCUUUCACUUUCACCCUCACCUAAAGCUCGAUAGAACAACCAUUAAAGCUUCACCUUGAAGCUUCAAACGUGCGUGAGCUAAGCCUCUCAAUCUCUCUGCUCUAUCACAUUUUCUCUCAUGGAAGCAAAUCUCAGCAAUCUCACGCAUCAUAAACGUAGCAACCACAUAAGGAUUAGAAGAAGAUUCUAUUAAGGAGCUCAGAGUCAUAAUUCUUACCUUAUUUUGAAGCGCCUCUAGAUUUCUUAUCAUCCUCAUCUUCAAAUUUCUCAAUCUUGACCGGAGCAAUUCACCACUCUGAAGUUGGUGCACCUCUUUCAAACUCACUUGCUUUAUCAUAUUUCUUGUUACCAGAUGAUAGAAUUGAUGUAGAGGAACGUUAGCCCCAAGUUCUAAGGUUGAAACCAAUUGUAAUUCAUGUUUAAUUGGGGAC
rnacentral:lncRNA from 1 species